rnacentral:rRNA from 1 species
AGAGUUUGAUCAUGGCUCAGGAUGAACGCUGGCGGCGUGCCUAACACAUGCAAGUCGAGCGAAGCACUUUACUUUGAUUCUUCGGAUGAAGAGUGAUUUGACUGAGCGGCGGACGGGUGAGUAACGCGUGGGUAACCUGCCCCAUACAGGGGGAUAACAGUUAGAAAUGACUGCUAAUACCGCAUAAGACCACAGCACCGCAUGGUGCAGGGGUAAAAACUCCGGUGGUAUGGGAUGGACCCGCGUCUGAUUAGCUAGUUGGUGAGGUAACGGCCCACCAAGGCAACGAUCAGUAGCCGACCUGAGAGGGUGACCGGCCACAUUGGGACUGAGACACGGCCCAAACUCCUACGGGAGGCAGCAGUGGGGAAUAUUGCACAAUGGGGGAAACCCUGAUGCAGCGACGCCGCGUGAGCGAAGAAGUAUUUCGGUAUGUAAACUUCUAUCAGCAGGGAAGAAAAUGACGGUACCUGACUAAGAAGCCCCGG